AAAUACUAGCUUCCAUGAAGUAAAUGAAACAUCACUUCUUCUAUAUUAUUUUGAAUCAAAUUAACUAAGAUAUGGCUUCUUUAAAGCAAGCUUUUCUCUUCAUGACUCUCUUUCUUGCAAUUUCAGUUAACAUCUGUUGGGGUCUAAAAGUGAUGGCUUUAAGAGACUUAUCAAUUGAUGUUGAAGAGAUAAAAGGAAAAUUACUUCUUCCACUUGGUAACGAUGUGACUUGUUAUCGAACUUGCUAUUCAGAUAGCGAUUGCAGUGAUGGUUGGGCGUGUACAACUUGUUCAAAACAAUAUAGCAUAUUAGGAAAAUAUAUGUAUUCGGAUUGUUCCAUGUGGUGAAGUUCAGGACCAUUCCACAUCUUAACAAGUGCACUGUUACCGAUGAAGCUAAGGUUAUUUUGAAACUAUCCAUUGAACAAGUUAAAUAAUAUUUUGUGUAACAAAAAUAAAUAUGUAACCUCAUAAGUUUCUUAGAUAUUGAGAAACUAUUCGCUUUAAUAGGUUACUGAUGAAAGUUAUUUUGUGACUAUCUUUUGAAUAAGUUAAAGAAUGUUAUAUUUUUAAGUUUGUCUAAGAAAAAUAAAUAUUCAACCUAGUAAGUUUUUCAUAUAUUGAGAAAUUAGUACUCUAAUAAGUUACUUUUGAGUAAGUUAAAUAAUGUUGUAUUUUUAAGUUUGUCUAAGAAAAAUAAAUACUCAACCUUAUAAGUUUUUCAUAUAUAUAUAUAUAUAUUGAGAAAUUGAUACUCUAAUAAGUUACUGAUGAAGGUUAUUUUGGGACUAUUCUUCGAGCAAGUUAAAUAAUGUUGUGUUUUCAUAUAUGUUUGUGUAAGAAAAAUAAAUAUGUAACCUUAUUUAUAGCAUAAAUAUGGUAACGUAUCUGAUGAUAUUUUUAAAGAGUUCGAACAGAAUAUUUUACAUGAUGGCGGGAAAUUGGCAAAGAAAAGUUAUAAAGGCCAAUACAUGUUCGGUGCUUCUGCAAUAAUAAUAUUUUGCUAUUAUGAA